rnacentral:rRNA from 2 species
GUGAGUAACGCGUGGAAACAUACCCUUUCCUGCGGAAUAGCUCUGGGAAACUGGAAUUAAUACCGCAUACGCCCUACGGGGGAAAGAUUUAUCGGGGAAGGAUUGGCCCGCGUUGGAUUAGCUAGUUGGUGGGGUAAAGGCCUACCAAGGCGACGAUCCAUAGCUGGUCUGAGAGGAUGAUCAGCCACAUUGGGACUGAGACACGGCCCAAACUCCUACGGGAGGCAGCAGUGGGGAAUAUUGGACAAUGGGCGCAAGCUUGAUCCAGCCAUGCCGCGUGAGUGAUGAAGGCCUUAGGGUUGUAAAGCUCUUUCACCGGAGAAGAUAAUGACGGUAUCCGGAGAAGAAGCCCCGGCUAACUUCGUGCCAGCAGCCGCGGUCAUACGAAGGGGGCUAGCGUUGUUCGGAAUUACUGGGCGUAAAGCGCACGUAGGCGGAUAUUUAAGUCAGGGGUGAAAUCCCAGAGCUCAACUCUGGAACUGCCUUUGAUACUGGGUAUCUUGAGUAUGGAAGAGGUAAGUGGAAUUCCGAGUGUAGAGGUGAAAUUCGUAGAUAUUCGGAGGAACACCAGUGGCGAAGGCGGCUAACUGGUCCAUUACUGACGCUGAGGUGCGAAAGCGUGGGGGGCAAACAGGAUUAGAUACCCUGGUAGUCCACGCAGUAUACGAUGAAUGUUAGCCGUCGGGCAGUAUACUGUUCGGUGGCGCACCUAACGCAUUAAACAUUCCGC